rnacentral:rRNA from 1 species
AUUGAACGCUGGCGGCAUGCCUUACACAUGCAAGUCGAACGGCAGCACGGGAGCAAUCCUGGUGGCGAGUGGCGAACGGGUGAGUAAUAUAUCGGAACGUGCCCGGUCGUGGGGGAUAACGUAGCGAAAGCUACGCUAAUACCGCAUACGAUCUACGGAUGAAAGCGGGGGAUCGCAAGACCUCGCGCGAUUGGAGCGGCCGAUAUCAGAUUAGGUAGUUGGUGAGGUAAAGGCUCACCAAGCCGACGAUCUGUAGCUGGUCUGAGAGGACGACCAGCCACACUGGGACUGAGACACGGCCCAGACUCCUACGGGAGGCAGCAGUGGGGAAUUUUAGACAAUGGGCGCAAGCCUGAUCCAGCAAUGCCGCGUGCAGGAUGAA